CCUUGAAAUACCACCCUUGUAGUGUUGAUGUUCUAACGUUGACCCCUUAUCGGGGUUGCGGACAGUGCCUGGUGGGUAGUUUGACUGGGGCGGUCUCCUCCCAAAGAGUAACGGAGGAGCACGAAGGUGGGCUAAUCACGGUUGGACAUCGUGAGGUUAGUGCAAUGGCAUAAGCCCGCUUGACUGCGAGAAUGACAAUUCGAGCAGGUGCGAAAGCAGGUCAUAGUGAUCCGGUGGUUCUGAAUGGAAGGGCCAUCGCUCAACGGAUAAAAGGUACUCCGGGGAUAACAGGCUGAUACCGCCCAAGAGUUCAUAUCGACGGCGGUGUUUGGCACCUCGAUGUCGGCUCAUCACAUCCUGGGGCUGAAGUCGGUCCCAAGGGUAUGGCUGUUCGCCAUUUAAAGUGGUACGCGAGCUGGGUUUAGAACGUCGUGAGACAGUUCGGUCCCUAUCUGCCGUGGGCGUUGGAAGAUUGAAGGGGGCUGCUCCUAGUACGAGAGGACCGGAGUGGACGAACCUCUGGUGUUCGGGUUGUGUCGCCAGACGCAUUGCCCGGUAGCUAAGUUCGGAAUCGAUAACCGCUGAAAGCAUCUAAGCGGGAAGCGAGCCCUGAGAUGAGUCUUCCCUGAUACUUUAAGUAUCCUAAAGGGUUGUCGGAGACUACGACGUUGAUAGGUCAGGUGUGUAAGUGCUGUGAGGCAUUGAGCUAACUGAUACUAAUUGCCCGUGAGGCUUAACCAUACAACACCCAAGGGGUUU
rnacentral:rRNA from 1 species